UACGGAGGAUGCGAGCGUUAUCCGGAUUUAUUGGGUUUAAAGGGUGCGUAGGCGGCCUGCCAAGUCAGCGGUAAAACUGCGGGGCUCAACCCCGUACAGCCGUUGAAACUGCCGGGCUCGAGUGGGCGAGAAGUAUGCGGAAUGCGUGGUGUAGCGGUGAAAUGCAUAGAUAUCACGCAGAACCCCGAUUGCGAAGGCAGCAUACCGGCGCCCUACUGACGCUGAGGCACGAAAGUGCGGGGAUCAAACAGG
rnacentral:rRNA from 1 species